ensembl:misc_RNA Metazoa_SRP Metazoan signal recognition particle RNA
GCCGGGUGUGGUAGUGCACACCUGUGGCCCCAGCUACUCAGGAGGCUGAGGUAGGAGGAUCUCUUGAGCCCAGGAGUUCAAGGUUGUAGUGUGCUAUCACUGUACCUGUAAAUAGCCACUGCAUUCCAGCAUGGGCAACAUAACGAGAACCCAUCUCUA